AUUAAAUUGUAGAGUUAGCAAAUAGGAUGUUAAGUCAUAUUUUGGGCCCUUUCCAUCAAAAUUUUCAGUAGAAUGUAACGAAAUUUUAAAAUAAGUCAGAAUAAAAAAACAAAAUCUCUGAAAGAUAUUUAAAAAUGGUGCAAAAACGAAUACUCUGUCGCACUCUAGAAAUUGGCAGUGGUAUUCCAAAGCUAAAUUUAGUGUUUAAAUUAUAAUGAGUCGACAAACAAUAACUAAAAGUUCGCCGAUAGGAGCGCAGUUAUUGCAUUUCCCGGCUGACGGUUGAGUACUGAUAUGGCGUUUCUGUAUGAGUUACCUAAAACAAAGACACUAUAAAGUAUAUUCAUAAAAUUUCUUGUGUAUAUAUGCAAUCUUUUUAUUGAUCUGUCCAGAAUAUAUUUUACCACAUAUUUUUGAAUUACCUUGAUGUAGCAAAGACCUGACGGAACUGAAGCUAAAAUGGAAUGAACCUGCAACCGCAAGAGUAUUUACAAAUAGUUUCACGCAGAGAGAACCUUUCUUUAUAAGGGUGUUAAUCCCUCUGGAUACAAAUUUAUGCAUUAGUACAUCAGGUCUUAAAACAUUUUUUAAAAAAAGUGUUUUUUUCUUUGUUUAUUUGAAUUCAUAAAAUAU